UAGUACAUUAGGAACCAAUGAUGAUAGCGGAAUAAAACUUUACAAAAAUACGGUAUUUGAAAAAUAUGUAAAUGACGUAUAAUGAAAUCUCGAUUAUCACUUUAUAAUGCGAGAGUAUAAAAUGUUCGGUGACACCCGAACUUAACCCUUCCUUACUUGUUAUUUAAUGAGUUAUCUUCACGAAAUUUGGCAAGGGUUAUUGUCCAGGGCAACAGAAAAAUCGUUGAAUAAAUUGUUUAAUUUGUAGUACUAUACAUAGAAUAGAGCUGCCAUACAAACUGAUAGACCACAAUUAAGUUCUUGUAUGGAAUCUUUUGUAUUUAUGAAGGGUAUUAAAGCUGUGAAGUUAUAGCGGCCGAGGAUAAAGAUUUUUUUUUGACAAUUUCAUCUUUAAUUAGGGAUUUCUAGUUGCAGAGAGUAUAUUUUUCAACUUUAGAGAGAGUUUUCAAAUUAACUAUAGAUACAUGUUUUCAUUAAUAUUUCUUCCAAUUCUGUCCCAGUUGAGUUCUCAAUGAUGACGGUUUUACAUUUUAGGAGUUUUUGCGUAAACUCAUUUUUGAUGUAUUCCAACAAGUUGUGAGUCCCCUGAAUAUUAUAAAAAACUUUAUAAAUAAAAAUUUUCGAAAUUAAAUAAAUACAUUUUUUUAACUUCCCGCAAAUUUUUUGAAAAUUACUACACCGUAACACCUUUUUCGAUUUUCACAUAUUUACAUGAAUAGCCUUCCAGCCUAUUUCCUUCGUCUAUAACCGCGUAAGCGAUGUCUACCCAUGUCUACGCCGAAAAGGAGAGCCUUCCAGCUGCGGAAUCGCUAUUCGAAAAAGAGUUUAUUUUCGCAAAUCCAUGCAUUGUUUACGACCAUUUUGAAUAUGAGUUUACCUCAUGAGUGGCAAUUUUCGAAAAAAAAAUGUAUUCAUAGAAGCAACUAGAGGUUAGGUAGUAAUGAAGGAUUUCUGUCUUUACGUAUUAGUGCCCUUCGGUAGCAAAUUUCAGAAUCAGUUGAACUGAAGUAUGAAAAUAUUGUUUAGAAGCAUUAUAUGAAUUUAAACUUAGUAGAGAUUUUGUAUUUUCCACCUAAUUUAAAAAAUUUUGUUGAAAGUGAUUCAAAAGGAUCGUAGAGAAUAACAUUUAAAAUGAGUAAAACCAGAGGCUCAGCUUUUGGCUGCAAUAUCUUACAGGCAAUGCUUUAGAUCGCUUCACAUUACAGACCUUCAACCACAGACCAGUUAUAUACAUACAUUAAUUAUAUUGUCCGCUAGUCGAAGUAAAAUAAUAAUCGAAAAUUCGGUUUGAAUCCAAGUGAGAUCAAAGCACAAAAGAGUUUGAAGAAGAGUAUAUGAACAUUGGAUACAGAGACACUGUGCGAGAAAUGUACAUAUGAUAAUUGAAGAAUAAGUUGUGUUCUUUUGGUGUCUACUCUCUAAAGAAGAAGAUGUAAGAGAAAAAUGUGUUCCAAAUCUUGAGGAUGUUCGUCAUAGUUCGAUGCUGCAUUUGAAAUUAGUUUAUUUGUUAAGCAAUUUUGUAUUUUUUUUAAUUCUGUUUUAUUUUUAUUCCUAUACAAUGCUUAAUUUAUUACUCAAAAAUUUUUAUAUAAAUAAAAGAAGGCAAUAUGUUGAAAAAAGCAUUUGAAAAGAAUAUGAUCUGUGUUUACUAUACUUUUUAUAUACACACAUACAUAUAACAAUUUUAUUGCUAUUCGCUCACAAUGAGAAAACAUGUAAAAAAUCUGCCACUCAAUAUUUUCGACUCAAAAUUCUAGUAAUAAAUUUAAUAAAAAUUUUAAACCACCCUAAUGUUGACAAUUAAUUGCUUAUUCUCCAGUUUAAAAAAAUUAUGUUUAAAAUUAAUUGCUUAAACCAUUUUGAUUUCGUUUUGUUAAAAUAGAAAAAAAAAACAAUAAAAGCAAAAUUGUGUUUGGUGAACUUUAAUAGAAUGAAAACAGAGAGUACAAAUAGCAUUAAAGCAACUAAAUGAAAAUAGAAAGCACUGAAAUUAGUAUACAUCAACAAAUAAAACGUAGUUCAGAAUGAAUAUUAAAAAAAAACAUUAUUAAAAAGCAAAGAAAGAAAAAAUUUUGCAUUAAAAAAUGCGAAAAUGCGUUAAAAACAUAACCUUAACUAUAAAAGCAUAACCUAAAUUGUAAACAAAAACGAAACAUGAACAUAAGCACAUACACACAUACAUAGAAGCGUUUUAUAUAUUAUUCUAGCAAUGUGCGAAACAAAAAUUCAAACGAAUAUUAAAUGUAUUUGAAAACAAGCACAUAGCCCUUAAGGACUGCAAAUAAUGACCGGAAGCCGGACUUCUUUGAAAUAACAAAACACGAAACUAAUUAGGAAAAAAUAAAAUGUGAAAACAAUUGCUUUUUCGAAAAUUUGUAUACAAGAUGAACUUCUGCAGGAAUUGAAAAUUUUUGUAAAUACAUACAUACAUACUUAAAUAUACAUAUAAAUACAUAAGAGCACAUAUACAUGUAUAUAAAUAGGUCUCAACCAAAUUUAAAUGUGCGAUCCAAUAAGUGAACAUUACUUUAUUUCAUUCUAGACGUUCUAACAAUUUUUAAACCUUUUUGUAAAUUGUAAGAGCCAAUCAGAGAUUAAUUAAAAGUUUUAAAGUUUCCAGGAUGAUGGAGCCGGUGAGGCCCCACACAAUAAAGAAGUUGCUCCGCACGGAGGAGAGAGGUGGGAAAGAACGGCAUUGGUAGCAGGUAGCGCUCUAUACAGGGAACUGCAGGCUCAGGAAGCACUUGUCCAACAAGGGCAUAGCCUCUUGCACAAACCGCACGUUUUCCAAAAGGAAACUCCAGAACACCUGAUUCUAGAUUACCUAGUAAUUUGUAGAAGCAGGCUCAAGGCCCUAGGUUCUAUCACCGUGAUCAGGGAUUACAUCACCUCAGUCGCGCCCAACAAGCUCCUGGAAUUAUUGAGAGCACUGGGCCUUUCUGAACAUUUGUGUUAUAGGAGAGGGCAGAAUAGACCAUAGGUCGUAGUGCAAAACCUCAAUUAUUUUCUAUCAAGGUCAAAUGUAUGAUAAAUGAAGAGCCGUUUGCAUAACUAAAUGUUUACGAGAAAAAUAUUCCAAGAUCGGGAAACUUUUUUUGAAAUGUCUCAACGACCUCAACACCAGUUGAAGACUUAAAAUAUCUAUCGGCUAAUAUCUAUUCCAGCCGUUUCACCGGGUACGUAGCAAGUAUGGCAACUUACUUAUAUGCUUCAACUUUAGUCUGGCGAAAGCUGAACAAUGGAGAAGAAAGUGUCUAGAAAUUUCCAGCUCCUCUUCCUCCCUGGAACUCUGAUAAUUUGCAUCCUCCAAAAUCUUUAGUCGCACCGCAAGAAAAUGGGACAGUGGACAGUUAGGACACCUACCAUUGCGGCUUUGUGAACCUUGCUAAGAGCGAGUAGUUUAAUGGGUCUCUCUGAUCCAGAAAGAUUUCGCAAGUCCACAAGUGAUGGUGCUGGCGAAAGCUUGCUGUGCUCAUGCGAGGUUAAUAGAUCCAACGUCCGAAAACAUGUACACCGCGAAACAACUUCUCGUUCCAAUCCUGUUGGGAUUUUGGGUAAGGGUGUAAUGCAAAAGUUGGCUAUGUUCACGUGUGCUAUAUUUAAAAUGGUAUUGUGUGUCGUUGUUGGUGUUGCAGUAGUGUACCACUGAUGCCACCAGACAAAUACACCAUAUUUGUUUUACAAAGUUUUCGUUAGAAGAAAGUGAAAAGCUUUUGGCGAGAGACCAAUAAUGAUAGCUCCUUUACAACAAUAUAAUGCGUUCCUCAUCCUCUCCUCAACACUGGGUUUCCAUGAAAGAUUUUUAUCGAGUAUGAGGCCCAAGCACUUCACCAUUUCGAUAGGGUGAAGAGAGCACGCCAUCCGGGAUUUUAUACCUUUAACUCUCCGAGAGUUAAACAAGUCAGAGGUAGAUACUUGGGAUACCCUCACAAAAAUUAACAUAAUUGAGUCAAUACACCUGAUGUUGUCAUCCCUUUGGUAGAUCCAUUUCUUGAUAUUAUUGGAUCGUGAAUGGUUCAUCCCAAUGAUGUAUUGAUCAUAUGCUCUGUGGUUUGAGGCACGGCUUUGCUGGACGAUUGAUAUGUUAUGACAUUAACUUCAUCCUUACCAUUAAUAAUGCAUAUACAUAUACAUAUGUAUAUCAACGAUCUCUUGCCAGCUUAAGAUUUUUCUGGAUGCAAGAGAGUCUGAGGAGUAGUUUUAAGCAUGCUUUCACUCUAAAACUUUUAAGUAGAUAGCGGUAACCAGGGAUGAUUUUUUUAAUAUUCUGACUGGCUCUUAUUGAAGUAGGAUUGUUUAUUAACUUUUAACUAUAAACAACUCUUUUAUUUACUAAAUUUUUAAUUUUUCUAAAAGACUACUUAAAUUUUGAAAAUCAUUGUUGAGUGUAAAAAUAUAAAUCAUCAUUAUAAUUCACCUAAACUUUUAUGUAAAUUGUAUAUACCCAUAAAAAUAUGCAUUUACUAUAUACAUAUAUACAUAUAAUUAUAGUCAUACAUUAGGUUUAGAGGUUUUCCUAACAACAAAUUGCUGGUGCAUUAAAAUCCGAGUGAGGCUAUGAAUAGGAAAGUUUGAGCUUAUUAAAAAAUCUCAAUAGUAAUGAAAUUCAAAAUAGAAAUAAUAAAAUAAAUUAUAGAAUAUAUAGGAUAUGAACAAAUUAACACGGAAAGUGCGAGAAGUGCCAUUGACGGGUAAGAAGUGGUAAAUUUUCUAGAGGAUUUUUCAUUAAAAUUAAUUUGAAUUUUUAAUCUAGAUAAAAUAUGUAUGUUCGCCACUUUAUCGUAUAAUACUUAUAAAAUGGUUAAGCUUCUUAUAUUUAUUUAACGAUAGUUCAUCUUUGCUGAUUUCAAAUCUUCAUCUCCCGACUAAAUUAAAUGUUUAGAUUCAGAAACAUUUCAAAAUUUUUUUAUACAUUUUAAUACGGGAGAAACUUGAUUCUAAAUUCCUGUUGUCAAUACUGGAAGUAUCCCUGCGACUCAUCUGUUCAUAAUGAGGAGCAAUAUGAGGGCGGAUUGAAAAAUUAUUUCAUAACAGUUGGAGUAUAAGUUUUGAGCGAGAAAUACAUAAAAACACUACCUCCCAAGAGCAUGGAUUAUUCUAGUCUUUAAAUAGGCCUCUGAAGACCGGUUUCAUUAUCAAGACACUACAUCCCAAGAGCAUGGAUUAUUUUAGUCUUUAAAUAGAUCUCUGUAGAUCGGAUCCAUUAUCAAGUUAGUGUUAAAUAUGCAUUUGCCUCAUAUUACGACGGUGUUUAGACAAGCAACACCAAAUUGCAAUCAACCUAAACAAAGCAUUAUGGCUUCCGUUGUUUUAAUCCCAAUUCUUGGUUGGAGGCAGUUUUAGAGUGUGGGAAAGAGUUUUGAAGAGCAUAUGAUUAUAGCUCCAUCGGGACAAAUACAUAUAUCUUAGCACCUUAGGAUCUGUUUCAAACAGUCAUCGGAUAUUUGGAGAACAUUUUAGAACGAGAUCUUAUGCUAUGCACUCUCGUAGAGAACUCUUAUAAUGAGAUUAGGAAGAUGGUUGCUAAAAUAAAAAAAAAAAUAAAAAUAUGGCGAACAUAGACAAUAUUUACUAUAACAAAUCGAUAUUAAUUCUUCAAAAACUUUGUAUUUUCUAACUUUCAAUUUCCGAUUUUCGAAUUUCAAAUUUUCAUUUUUGGAUUUUCGAAUUUUUAAUUUUCGAAUUUAUUUCUUUAAUAUUUACAAUAACAAACCGAUAUUAGUUCUUCAAAAACUUUUUAUUUUUAAUUUUCGAAUUUUAAAAUUUUCGAUUUUUGAAUUUUAAUUUUUCGAAUUUCGAAAUUUCAUUUUUGGAUUUUCGAAUUUAUUUCUUUAAUAUUUACAAUAACAAACCGAUAUUAGUUCUUCAAAAACUUUCUAUUUUCAAUUUUCGAAAUUUAAAAUUUUCAAUUUUUGAAUUUUAAUUUUUCGAAUUUAAAAUUUAAUUUUUUUACUUCUUCCUCGGUUAUUAUAUCAAGUUUAUUAAAUAUAUUGAAACUGAAAAUAAUGAAGUAGUUAUAGAGAUUAUAUAUAUGGAAACCCAUAUAAUUCUACUAGUAUAUACUAUAUACAUAAUUAUUUACAUGCAUAUAUAUUUUCAGAUAAACGCUGAACUAGAACUUAUUUCGUACAACGAUUUGACGCUCGUUAGUUCCUUAUCUCCUCUUUAUGCAAUAAUUUAUGAGCUUCUCAUUAAAUUAAGUUAUUUCUAUUUAUAUAAAUAUAGUUACACACAUACAUAUAAUAUAUAAUAUAUACGUACAUACAUAUAUGUGUAUACAAAAUUUCGUUGAUACUGUUGCCAUUUGGCGUUGAUAAAUAUGAGUUAAGAUAAACAUAAAAUUAAUAUAUAGUAUGUGAAACUUUCUUAAUUAGUUUGGCGGAAAGUUAUUUUUGCAUUGUUUUUGAUGAGUUUUCUUUCGGAAAGCGUUAGAUAUGGAAAAGUUGCUUGGUUUCGAAUUCUAAACUCAACGCGUAAUUUAUUACAACGCAUAAAUAUGAAAUAUGAAAAUGUGUAAUUUUUAUGCAUAAUAAAUGAUUAUUAGACAGCCAUAUAUAAAUAAGUAACAACAAAAAGCGAUUGCUAAAGAAAUAUGAAAACAUUUUAUGGAAAAGAGAUAUGAAAGUUUGGUUGAAAAUAUUGAAGAAAUAAAGAAAUGGAAAACCGUGAAA